rnacentral:rRNA from 1 species
UAGAGUUUGAUCCUGGCUCAGGACGAACGCUGGCGGCGUGCUUAACACAUGCAAGUCGAACGAUGAAGCCAGCUUGCUGGUGGAUUAGUGGCGAACGGGUGAGUAACACGUGGGCAACCUGCCCUCAGCUCUGGGAUAACUCCAAGAAAUUGGUGCUAAUACCGGAUAUUCAUUCAGCCUCGCAUGGGGUUGUGUGGAAAGUUUUUCGGCUGGGGAUGGGCCCGCGGCCUAUCAGCUUGUUGGUGGGGUGAUGGCCUACCAAGGCGACGACGGGUAGCCGGCCUGAGAGGGUGACCGGCCACACUGGGACUGAGACACGGCCCAGACUCCUACGGGAGGCAGCA